AAUUCGUUCCAUUGAAGAAAAUAUAGAGGGAAUUGUGGAUAAAAUGACAGGUUCUGUUGACAAUGUAUCACCGGGUAUAUUGGGCAGCGCCAGGGAGACGCUGGAGAAAUUUGAUAAAUGGACAACGGCUUACAACAACGUAAAGGAAAGCUUAAUUUUAUGUAAUCAAGUUUUCGCUAUGCAGGUUACAAUUACUCUUGUCGCAGCUAUGUCCUACAUAAUAUUAUUCUUAUACAAAGUCAUAUCUUCAAGCGUGUUGAGAGAAGAGAUAUCGAGAGAAUUUGUAUUAUAUGCGAUAGACUUAAUAAUUUUCUCUAUGGCUAUGGUUAUGAUAUCCUGGAUGGCACAGAAUGCCCAGAAUUCUGCAGACAUGUUGAGAAGACGUCUUGCCAAGCUUUUAAUUUACUGCCAGAGAACGGAUGUUUCUCACAAGCCUGCUAAGGACCUGCUUCAUCUUGUCGCCUCACGUCGGCUUCGUGUCCAUGCCUUCGGUCUGAUUCACAUCGACAUGACUCUCUUACCCAAGUGUAUCAUGUUCCUAAUCUCUUACACAAUC